AAGCAGUAGCCGCGGGAAUACGAAGGGUGCAAGCGUUACUCGGAAUUACUGGGCGUAAAGCGUGCGUAGGUGGUGGUUUAAGUCCGUUGUGAAAGCCCUGGGCUCAACCUGGGAAUUGCAGUGGAUACUGGGUCACUAGAGUGUGGUAGAGGAUAGUGGAAUUUCCGGUGUAGCAGUGAAAUGCGUAGAGAUCGGAAGGAACAUCUGUGGCGAAGGCGACUAUCUGGGCCAACACUGACACUGAGGCACGAAAGCGUGGGGAGCAAACAGGAUUAGAUACCCCCGUAGUCCCUGUCUCUUAUAC
rnacentral:rRNA from 1 species